GACGAACGCUGGCGGCGUGCCUAAUACAUGCAAGUAGAACGCACAGUUUAUACCGUAGCUUGCUACACCAUAGACUGUGAGUUGCGAACGGGUGAGUAACGCGUAGGUAACCUGCCUGGUAGCGGGGGAUAACUAUUGGAAACGAUAGCUAAUACCGCAUAAUAUUAAUUAUUGCAUGAUAAUUAAUUGAAAGGUGCAAUUGCACCACUACCAGAUGGACCUGCGUUGUAUUAGCUAGUAGGUGAGGUAACGGCUCACCUAGGCGACGAUACAUAGCCGACCUGGGGAGGUGAUCGGCCAAAAUGGGACUGAGACCCGGCCCAAGCUCCUUCGGGAGGCAGCAAUAGGGAAUCUUCGGCAAUGGACGAAAGUCUGACCGAGGAACGCCGCGUGAGUGAAGAAGGUUUUCGGAUCGUAAAGCUCUGUUGUAAGAGAAGAACGGGUGUGAGAGUGGAAAGUUCACACUGUGACGGUAUCUUACCAGAAAGGGACGGCUAACUACGUG
rnacentral:rRNA from 1 species